UACGCAGGGGGCAAGCGUUGUCCGGAUUUAUUGGGCGUAAAGAGCGUGUAGGCGGCCGUACAGGUCAGCUGUGAAAACUCGAGGCUCAACCUCGAGACGUCGGUUGAAACCGUACGGCUAGAGUCCGGAAGAGGAGAGUGGAAUUCCCGGUGUAGCGGUGAAAUGCGCAGAUAUCGGGAAGAACACCCGUGGCGAAGGCGGCUCUCUGGGACGGUGCUGACGCUGAGACGCGAAAGCGUGGGGAGCGAACAGG
rnacentral:rRNA from 1 species